rnacentral:tRNA from 1 species
GCCGCUGUAGCUCAAUGGUAGAGCAACUGAUCCGUAAUCAGUAGGUUGGAGGUUCAAUCCCUCUCAGCGGCU